rnacentral:tRNA from 1 species
GGCCGACUGGCCUAAUGGUUAAGGCGUCAGUUUCCGGAGCUGAAGAUUUCUGGGUUCGAAUCCCAGGUUGGUCG